CCUUACCUUUAAGUUAGGAGGAGAGGAUGGUGGAGAGGGGGGCAUUUGUGCACAAAAGGGUGUGCAAAUGAGUGGACAGACAGGAAGAUGGCAGGGAGUGCAGGGACUGGCAGGGCAGGGGCUGAGCAGAUAUCUGUCUCUGUGUGUAUUGUGGAGGGGCUAGAGGUAGUAUAGGGGUCCGCUUUGGAGCUCAGCGAAGAGACGGACCAGCACUGGGACUCCAAAGAGGCUUGUGAUUUCACCUGGUUUUAUAGACAUAGGUUAUUUCAUUUCAAGAUUCAUACAACAUUCAGUUUAAAUGCUUUAGAGAAAAGAAGAAAACAGACCACCCUAUACAGUUACUUGAGAGUCUGAUGUCUUCACACAUUGAGAGCUGGCCACUUUCCUCUUCUUACCCACAAAAGAAGAAAGCCUAGCAAAGGGCACCCUUCUUUCCCUAACAGAUGUGCUUUCCGGAUAAUAAGAUGUCUGGGUCGUUUCCAGUUCGAGACUACUAUAAAGAAUGCUUCUCUGAACAUUCUUAUGCAUGUCUUCUGGAGGAUGAAUGCAGCUUUUCUAUUGCGUUGGGGGACAGGAGAAGAGAGGAAAGCCAAGUCAUAAAAUAAGUAAUAAAACACAGAUUAACCUUGUUUUUCUGAAGGGGUACAGGUAAGUAUUUAUGUAUUUAUUUUUGGUGGCAGCAUAUAAUAAAA
rnacentral:lncRNA from 1 species